rnacentral:rRNA from 1 species
ACUCAAAUGAAUUGACGGGGACCCACACAAGCGGUGGAGCAUGGGGUUUAAUUCGAUGGUAAGCGAAGAACCUCACCCAGGCUUGACAUCUCGGGAACCUCCCGGAAACGGGGGGGUGCCGCAAGGAACCCGAAGACAGGUGCUGCACGGUCGUCGUCAGCUCGUGCCUUGAGGUGUACUGUUAAGUCAGCCAACGAGCGCAACCCUCAUCCUAUGUUGUUUUUUCAUGGGAGACUGCCGCCUCCAAGGCGGAGGAAGGUGGGGAUGACGUCAGAUCAGCGUGGCCCUUAUGCCUGGGGCUACACCCAUGCUACAAUGGCCGGUACAGCGGGCAGCGAAGCCGCAAGGCGGAGCCAAUCCCCCAAACCCGGUCUCAGUUCGGAUUGAAGUCUGCAACUCGACUUCAUGAAGUUGGAAUCGCUAGUAACCGUGGAUCAGCCACGCCACGGUGAAUAAGUUCCUGGGUCUUGUACACACCGCCCGU